rnacentral:lncRNA from 1 species
UAGUACUUACUGUAACUGCUUUGUGUAAUACAGACUCGAGGAGACACAAAGUUGCCUUUAAAGGAUUUUGUCUCAAGCUAUCCCUCUUGAUUUUUGCAUUAGUCUUCUCAAAGGUACAAUGUUUUUGGGCGUGAAGAAGCUGUAAACAGGUCUGAUUUUUUCACAGUAUGACAGCACAUCAGAGCUGUAAGGGAAAGCUGCAGGCCUGAUUUUUGUGCAGACCAGGUACCUGCAGAGCUGACUGACCCAUUAGCUGUUUCACGGGUCAUCUGCAGUACGGCAAGACUAAAUCCUUGUUCACAGUCACACUAAAUCUCUGUACACAACGUGAAAUGGCAAAAGCCUGCAACAUCCUUCUGGCUUAAGGGUGUGUUUCUUUAUAUGGAGCAGAAAAAUAUCUUUACAGUGAUGGGUGGGGCUUCAGUCUCUGCUGACGGCCAAAUCAGGAUCUGCAGAUGCCAGAGGUGUCUGCCAAAUGAGUCUCAGUUCAGUGACAGUGAGGAGCCAGGCGGUGCCAGGUUUCCUACUCUCCUGCUCUCUGCUGCGCAUCUUGACUGCCUUGGUAGAAGGAGAGCUCUUCUGGAUGGAAAGAAAUGGCUUGGAGGGAAGAAGCAUGGAGGGACUUGACAGGGAAAUCCUCUUGGCAAGAGGGUAGCCAGUCAGGGCUGCAAAGUGGAGACACAACAUGGAUUAGAGCCUGCAAUGCAAGCCUAAAGCAUCAGAAGCUCCAUAUUUAAGGGGACAGAUUUCUUAGAAGUUUCUAAACAGCUGCACAGGGAAACAUACUCCUGCUGGCAGACACUUGAGGCAGGCCAGGGGAAAACCCUGAGCCACUUCCCCAGAGCUGCCGCAGGCACAGCCUGGCCUCUGGGCUGCCCUGGGACAGCAGGGAGCCCAGAGCCCUGUGCUCUCCAGCAAUGGCUCAGCUGCACAUGCACCCUGCUGCUCCUCUCCCUGCCCCACAGCUCAGCAGCCCUACAGCUCCAGGGGCACUGGCAGCAGCACAGCUCCUUGCNACGCAGAUCUACCUGCUCCCAGCAUUCUUUUUUAUCUUCUAAAAUGUUACAUAUACAUUAGGGUUUGCAAUACAUUUAUGAAUAUUCAUUUCCUGGCUACACCUUGU